rnacentral:rRNA from 1 species
UACGGGGGGGGCGAGCGUUAUUCGGAAUUAUUGGGCGUAAAGGGCGCGUAGGCGGCUGUACAAGUCAAAGGUGAAAUCCCUCGGCUCAACUGAGGAACUGCCUUUGAAACUGUACGGCUUGAGGCCGGGAGGGGGUAGCGGAAUUCCCAGUGUAGCGGUGAAAUGCGUAGAUAUUGGGAGGAACACCAGUGGCGAAGGCGGCUACCUGGACCGGUUCUGACGCUGAUGCGCGAAAGCGUGGGUAGCAAACAGG